GUGCCAGCCAACUGUGGCUGCCUGGGACACUCCAUCUUAAGUCCCUGUGCCUCUGCUGUGUGUUACUGAGUGCCUAGGCCGUGCCAGCCUGUAUUCAUCUGUACUAUGACCUGAAGAGGCAGAGGCCAUCACUGUUGGUCCGGUCUCCACCUGGGGAAACUGAGGUUGCACAGUGUCUCUGUGGUGACGAGCAGGGCUUCAUCCAGUGCCUCUGUCCCCACCGAGGGGACUAUGGGAGACAUGGAGGGUGUGUGAGCAACAGGUGAGACUGGAGCCAGCUGAAAACUGGGAGACCGACCCAGCCAACAAACAAUGUCGGUCUCUGUCUUGGCACCUGCAGGAAACAAGCUCCUACUUCCAGAAAAAGUGCUCCUGGGACUCCAGGAUACCAGCCUUGUUUCCCAUAUGAGUAGACUCUCCCUUAGCUGGGAAAGCCUGACGAACGCCAUCUGGCCCCUUGAUUUACAAGACAUUAAGGGCUACUUACCCAACCCCCUUCCUCAAAGAGUUAACCUGCGUAAGCAGAUCCUCAGCAUUUCAAAGGAGCCCAAUUAGCUGAUAAGGUACUGGAACAAACAAUGUACGAAGUUCCCAGGAUUUUGCUCAAAAGCAUAACAACAUAAAGCCUUGAGUCUGUGUCUGGCAUAGCAUCCAUAUCUAACUCUUAUGAAGGAUUUAGAGCCCGGCACCUGGUUCCGUUGCUUUUUUUGUAACCAUUUGUCUUUUAAAUUGUUUAUUUCUCUGUAACCAUUUGUUUUUUGAUUCUUGCAUGUUUUUACUUCUGUAGAAUUAUUGCAUUUGAGCUCCGCUCCCCUUCCGAACCAAGGUAUAAAAGUAAAUCAAGCCCCUUCCUCGGGGCCGAGAGAAUUUUGGAAAGUCAAGCCUUCUCUUGGCUGCCGGCUUAAAUAAAGGACUCUUAAUUCGUCUCGAAGUGUGGCGUUUUCUCUAACUCGCUUGGGUAUAACACUUUGAGCCUGCGAGGCAGAGUUUGCAGUGAGCCGAGAUCACGCCACUGCACUCCAGCCUCGGCAACAAGAGUGAAACUCCGUUUCAAAAAACAAAAACAAAACAAAACAAAAGAACCCUCACAAUCUUCCUGCACCCAACUGAUGAAAUCACCAUUGCAAAAGUUAUAUCAGUGAGAACAUUAGAACAGUAAGCUAAGCUAACCCAAACCCCACCUUACUUUUCCCUUAAUUAUUCCUGGGCUACUGGGUCGAGCUAACUUUGGAAGACAUUUAGGCUAUGGUUUAAAUAACAGGCCUUGCCAAAAACUCAACCACUUAUUUUUUUGAGACGGAGUCUUGCUCUGUCGCCCAGGCUGGAGUGCAGUGGUGUGAUCUGGGCUCACUGCAAUCUCUGCCUCUGGGUUCAAGCAAUUCUCCUGCCUCAACCUCCUGAGUAGCUGGGAUUACAGGCGCAUGCCACUGAGUAGCUGGGAUUACAGGCGCAUGCCACCAAGCCUGGCUAAUUUUUGUAUUUUUAGUAGAGACAGGGUUUCACCAUGUUGGUCAGACUGGUCUCGAACUCCUGACCUUGUGAUCCACCCACCUCAGCCUCCCAAAGUGCUGGGAUUACAGGCUUGAGCCACCGUGCCCAGCCUGCUUUUUUUUUUUUUUUUUCCUUGAGACAGAGUCUCAUUCUGUCACCCAGGCUGGAGUGCAGAGGCACCAUUUCUGCUCACUGAAACCUCCACUUCUGGGGCUCAAGCAAUUCUCCUCUCUCAGCCUCAGGAGUAGCUGGGAUUACAGGCGCCUGCCACCAAGCCUGGCUAAUUGUUUUGUAUUUUUAGUAGAGAUGGGGUUUCACCCAUGUUGGCCAGGCUGGUCUCCAACUCCUGACCUCAAGUGAUCCGUCCACCUUGGCCUCCCAAAGUGCUGGGGUGACACUGUGCCUGGUCUCAACCACCCUUUUUUUUUUUUUCCUCUGUCACCCAAGCUGGAGUGCAGUGGCAUGAUCUUGGCUCACUGCAACUUCCGCCUUCUGAGUUCAAGCAAUUCUCCUGCCUCAGUGUCCGGAGUAGCUGAGACGACAGGUGUGCACCACCACCCCCUGCUAAUGUUUUGUAUUUUUAGUAGAGAUGGGGUUUCACCAUGUUGGCCAGGCUGGUUUCGAACUCCUGACCUCCACCCGCCUUGGCCUCCCAAAGUGCUGGGAUUACAGGAGUGAGCCAUCACUCCUGGCAUAGAAAGUUUUUCUCAUCCAUUGUCCUCCUCCUCUUCUUUCUUCAUCUUCCUCUUCCACUUUUUUCCAGGCAACUUUAGCAGGACCCUUUGCACCGUCAAACUUUCCUUUCAACUUACAGUCAGCAACCUCUUCCUCAUAUUUCUUCUUCAGCUUUGCCGCCUUAGUGACGUCAACCUGCUUUUCACUGUCACUUCAGCUAUUCCACAUCUCACCCAGAGCUUUUUUUUUUUUUUUUUUUUUUUUUGCCACAUCUCCAAUAGAGAUGCCAGGGUUUGCGGAUUUGAUCUUGGGGUGGAAUUCUGAACAGAACAUGAAGAAUCCAGACAGUUGGUUGGGUGUGAUGGCUCAUGCUUGUAAUGCCAGCACUUUGGGAAGCCAAGGCAGGUGGAUCACCUGAGGUCAGGAGUUUGAGGCCAGCUUGGCCAACAUGGUGAAACCCCAUCUCUACUAAAAAUACAAAAAUUAGCCAGACGUGGUGGUACGCGCCUGUGGUCCCAGCUAAUCUGGAGGCUGAGGCAGGAGAAUAGCUUGAACCUGGGAGGCGGGGCUUGCAGUGAGCCGAGAUUGCGCCACUGCACUCCAGCCUGGGCAACAGAGCGAGACUCCGUCUCAAAAAAAUAAAUAAAUAAAUAAAUAAAUUUUAAAAAAUAAAAUAAAUAAAUUAAAUAAAAUAAAAAAUAAGAGUCCAGACGGUGGCCUUUUGGGGACAUUAGGCUCUUUCUUCUUGCUUCCCCUUUAGCUGCUCUAUAAUCCUUCAUUUCCCGAUCCUAGUGUACUUUAUCCGCCUUUGCCAUUUCAUCAAAUUUGGACUUCUCUUUCACUGACACUGUCUUCCAACUCUCAGAAUAUUUCUUGGAAAAUUCUGCAAAAUUGACAGGGACCUCUGGGUUUUUCUUCUUCUUCUUCCUUUUUUUUUUUUUGAGAUGGAGUUUCACUCUGUCGCCCAGGCUGGAGUGCAGUGGCACGAUCUCCGCUCACUGCAACUUUCUCCUCCCAGGUUCAAGCGAUUCUCCUGCCUCAGGCUCCCGAGUAGCUGGGACUAUAGGCGCCUGCCACCAUGCCCAGAUAAUUUUUGUAUUUUUAGUAGAGACGGGGUUUCACCAUGUUGGCCAGGAUGGUCUCAAUUUAUUGACCUCAUGAUCCGCCUGCCUUGGCCUCCCAAAGUGCUGGGAUUACAGGCGUGAGUCACUGUGCCAGGCCGGUUUUUCUUCUUAUGUUCUUCUCUGUACAUCUGCACAAAAAAACUAUAAGCAGACAUUUUGCCCUUUGGUUUCUUGGGGUCACCAUUAGCCAUCCUGACUGUAUUGUUUGCUAGUCUGGGCAGCGCAGGACACUUGUUCGCUAUUUUUCUAAACUUUUCCCCCAAUGGGUGUAAAAAAGCAUAUUAUUAUUAUUAUUAUUAUUAUUAUUAUUAUUGAGACGAGUUUCGCUCUUGUUGCCUAAGCUGGAGUGCAAUGGCGCGAUCUCAGCUCAUUGCAACCUCCACCUCCCGGGUUCCAGUGAUUCUCCUGCCUCAGCCCCCUUAGUAGCUGGGAUUCCAGACGCGCACCACCACGCCUGGAUAGUUUUUUGUACUUUUAGUAGAAACGGGGUUUCACCAUGUUAGGCUGGUCUCAAACUCCUGACCUCAGAUGAUCCGCCCGCCUCGGCCUCCCAAAGUGCUGGGAUUACAGGUGUGAACCACUGUGCCCGGCUUAAAAGCAUAUUAUUAUAGUAAAUACUUUUUUUCCCUUUCUUUCUUUCAUUUUAAACACUGGGGUCUCCUUAUGUUGUCCAGGCUAGAUUCAAACUCCUGGACUCAAGCGAUCCUCCCACCUCAGCCUCCCUGUUACCCUGUUGCCAUGACAGCCCUGAUAAAAUAACUGGGAAAGUUCUCU
rnacentral:lncRNA from 1 species